rnacentral:rRNA from 1 species
UACGUAGGGGGCCAGCGUUGUUCGGAAUUACUGGGUGUAAAGGGUUCGUAGGCGGUGUAGCAAGUCGGGAGUGAAAUCUCUGGGCUUAACCCAGAGGCUGCUUCCGAAACUGCUGUGCUUGAGAGUGGGAGAGGCGCGUGGAAUUGCAGGUGUAGCGGUGAAAUGCGUAGAUAUCUGCAGGAACACCCGUGGCGAAGGCGGAUCUCUGGGCCUUACCUGACGCUGAGGCGCGAAAGCUAGGGGAGCGAACAGG